AGUAAGAAGUACAAAGCAUCUGUGGAAUCGAGUCUUAUCGGCGGUGUUUCAGUCGCAUCUAAAACACAUAAAAAUAGCGGAAGUCGCUAACCUGAAGUACUCGGCUGUCUCGCUGCCCCCGUCACCUUGCGCGCUGGAUCCUGCUUCUGGUGCCGUAUGCAGUUUCUGUCUGCUGGUGAUUUGGGGAGUUCCCUCGCAAUUAGUUGCGAGUUGAUGGUUUCCUACAGGUGGCGUUCUCGAGGACGGAGAGUUAAUACGGCCUCAGCCGGAUUACUCCAGGUUCUUUGAAGAUGCCUUCCUGCCUCUGGCCGAGGCAAUAUUUGGACGUAACCGAAGGACGUGCCUUGCGUUCCGUGAUAGUUCGCCUCAG